AGUUUUUGCUGUUGAUUGGACCAAAAUUUUAACGAUAUGUGUUCCUUUAAUCCGUUCUUCUCUUUCUACGUGUUUCUCCUAUAGCCGCUUCUCCUUCCAAUAACAAACCACCGCUAUGACAUUCACCGCCAUAUUACUUGAAGAUGCUGAAGAACCCACCACCGAUCCAUCUUACUUUAACCCUCCACCGAUUGAUUCGCUCUCUAGAAUUUUGGCUUUUUCCAUUAUCUAUCGAUUCUUCUCCAUCUAGCCCUUCCUACCUCCUCUUCCACAACCCUUUCUCUCCCUUGGUUGACUAAAGAUCCACAGUCGCUUGAGGUAAGUUCCUUCAACCGUAUUUCUGUUAACAUCCACUAAUCCAUAUUUCUAUUUGUUCUUUUGUUACAGUUUCUUUUCGCCCUUCCUCUCUUCUAAUGGCUUCGCCGCUUCAGCUUCGAUCAGACUAGGGCCACAUAAGCUAUCGUUGGUUUCUUCAUUUCAUCAUCAGCCAACAUAAAAAAAAUAUGCGUCCAUUUCGGUUUGUCGCUUGCUUUCUGAAGUGUGAGACACGAUUCUAGGUUCAACAAACAUUCACCGCUACCGCUUCUUUCGUCUUUGGUUUUCACAAUUUCAUACUUUUGGGUUUCUGCUUCUUUGAAAACCGAGGGCUUACUUAAUUUGACGAACUAAUUUAUUGCAGAAGCUAAACCUGUAUUCUUUCUUUCAGUGGGCGACAUUUAUGCAACCUGCAAACAGAAGUGUGCUGCAACCAGUCCCAACUGCGACUCAUUUUUCAUUCCUUUUUAACCUAUUUUUGUUUGUUCCUUCAUUCUAAUACAUUAGUAUUAAUGAUGAAUUUGACUAAUUUGUUAACUUAUUAAUGGGUGUGUGAAACACAGAACCUCAGAUAUUUAGUUGGUAAAUUGAAGUUACAUAUUAGAAAAUUAACAUCAGGAAGAAUUUAGUCCAUUUUUCAUGGACUGUCGCCUGUAGCAAAGAAGGUUAAUAGAUCAUACAGGUAAAAGUGAAGGUUACUAAUUGUAUAUGGCCCACAUAAGCUAUCGGUAGGGUUGAGUUUUGGGUUUAUGAUGUGGUUUUAAGUGUACAAAUGUUCAAUCAGCCAUGUACUCUCGAUUUACUUACUCAACUUUGUUUUUCUUUCGUAUUUUAGAAUUGUUUACCAAUCUUCUUCCUCAUGUUUGAAACUUAUGUUGUGUUACUCAUCACAGCUUCGUUUACCCUAAUUACCAGCUUUUAUUCCCCCCUUAGUUCAUAACCAAAUUUAUAUGAACUCCAAUUUUAUUUUGCUGUAGUCAACUUCAACCUCCCAACAACCCAAAAUUCAUGUGUUUAACAGAAAUUCAAUCAGACUAGGCCCACAUAGAUGAGCAGGAAACUUGGAGAAAUUGUUGGUGAGAAAGCUGGUAUCUUUAAGAAAGGUGUUCCAGCAUUUACUUUAAAGAAAAAGCCUCCCAGUUAGAUGUGAAUCUUGAAGUGGCAAACAUGUUGGAUAGUAAAUUGCUAAAUGGAUUACAUUUAGGGCUUGCAGGGGAUCACCAAUAUAUAAAUGCAGGGCUAGCCAUUAUGUUAAGCUCCACAUGGCUCCAAAGGACAGGUAAUUUGGAACUUCAGACUGUAAGUUUAUGUUAAAAAUGAAACAUUUGUCAGCAUAUGUUUAGUAAAUCUUUCAAAAAGAAAAUUUUCCAUUUUUUUUGUGGUUGGAUACAAAAUUAUUUGUCUGAGAGAUUCAUCAAGGGACUAACAAGUGCAAAAUUACAAGGAAGAGCUCAGAUUAUUCCUGACAAUGUAUGUGAAGGUGAUGUGGUGUUUUAUUAAGAUGGAGCACAUAGUCCUGAAAGCAUGGAAGUCUCUGCAAAUUGGUUUUCCAUAGCAGUUGGUGGUGACAACUUCAGGAAGGACUCUGCACAGAUAUUAUUGUUCAAUUAUAUGUCGGUGAGGGACCUACAAGAUGUAUCCAAAAGGGCAAGCUAGAGGGAGGCAUAGGUUACAUCUCAAACAGAUCAUACAAGCUGGAAAUUACCAAAAUUAUCUUCCAUAAUAGCAGAUGGUUUGUAUAAUUUUUUUUUUAUGUUAUAAUGAUGCAAGCCAAAAUCCCUUAGUCUAUAACUAUCUUAAAUCAUUAUACUUUCAAUUUGAACAUAAAAACAUUGUAAUUUGGGUUGGAUUUCAAGUGAUUCCAGCUUAUAAGUCCUUUUCAUCGUCACUUAAUGGAUUAAGAUGUCAUUUAACUCA